rnacentral:pre_miRNA from 1 species
UCUUGUGAAUGAGCAAAAAAAGUGAUUUCUUGAGAUAAAACCUACUCCUGGUGAAGAUGCUGUGAA